UACGGAGGAUGCAAGCGUUAUCCGGAAUGAUUGGGCGUAAAGCGUCCGCAGGUGGCAGUUCAAGUCUGCUGUCAAAGACCGGGGCUUAACUUCGGAAAGGCAGUGGAAACUGAACAGCUAGAGUAUGGUAGGGGCAGAGGGAAUUCCUGGUGUAGCGGUGAAAUGCGUAGAGAUCAGGAAGAACAUCGGUGGCGAAGGCGCUCUGCUGGACCAUAACUGACACUCAGGGACGAAAGCUAGGGGGGCGAAUGGG
rnacentral:rRNA from 1 species